rnacentral:rRNA from 1 species
UACGUAGGGUGCAAGCGUUGUCCGGAAUUAUUGGGCGUAAAGGGCUCGUAGGCGGUUUGUCGCGUCGGGAGUGAAAACCAGGUGCUUAACACCUGGCUUGCUUUCGAUACGGGCAGACUAGAGGUAUUCAGGGGAGAACGGAAUUCCUGGUGUAGCGGUGAAAUGCGCAGAUAUCAGGAGGAACACCGGUGGCGAAGGCGGGUCUCUGGGCCGUAACUGACGCUGAGGAGCGAAAGCGUGGGGAGCGAACAGG